GCGUCCCUUCAACCGAUUGAUGGCUCGGUGAGGCCUCCGGACUGGCUCAGGAGGGUUGGCAACGACCCCCCCGAGCCGGAAAGCUGGUCAAACCCGGUCAUUUAGAGGAAGUAAAAGUCGUAACAAGGUUUCCGUAGGUGAACCUGCGGAAGGAUCAUUACCGAGUGCGGGCUGCCUCCGGGCGCCCAACCUCCCACCCGUGACUACCUAACACUGUUGCUUCGGCGGGGAGCCCCCCAGGGGCGAGCCGCCGGGGACCACUGAACUUCAUGCCUGAGAGUGAUGCAGUCUGAGCCUGAAUACAAAUCAGUCAAAACUUUCAACAAUGGAUCUCUUGGUUCCGGCAUCGAUGAAGAACGCAGCGAACUGCGAUAAGUAAUGUGAAUUGCAGAAUUCAGUGAAUCAUCGAGUCUUUGAACGCACAUUGCGCCCCCUGGCAUUCCGGGGGGCAUGCCUGUCCGAGCGUCAUUGCUGCCCUCAAGCCCGGCUUGUGUGUUGGGUCGUCGUCCCCCCCGGGGGACGGGCCCGAAAGGCAGCGGCGGCACCGUGUCCGGUCCUCGAGCGUAUGGGGCUUUGUCACCCGCUCGAUUAGGGCCGGCCGGGCGCCAGCCGGCGUCUCCAACCUUAUUUUUCUCAGGUUGACCUCGGAUCAGGUAGGGAUACCCGCUGAACUUAAGCAUAUCAAUAAGCGGAGGAAAAGAAACCAACCGGGAUUGCCUCAGUAACGGCGAGUGAAGCGGCAAGAGCUCAAAUUUGAAAGCUGGCCCCUUCGGGGUCCGCGUUGUAAUUUGCAGAGGAUGCUUCGGGUGCGGCCCUGUCUAAGUGCCCUGGAACGGGCCGUCAGAGAGGGUGAGAAUCCCGUCUUGGGCAGGUGCCCGUGCCCGUGUGAAGCUCCUUCGACGAGUCGAGUGUUUGGGGAAUGCA
rnacentral:rRNA from 1 species